rnacentral:rRNA from 1 species
AUUGAACGCUGGCGGUAUGCUUAACACAUGCAAGUCGAACGGUAACAGGCCUUCGGGCGCUGACGAGUGGCGGACGGGUGAGUAACGCGUAGGAAUCUGCCUUAUAGUGGGGGACAACGUGGGGAAACUCACGCUAAUACCGCAUACGCCCUACGGGGAAAGCGGGGGAUCGUAAGACCUCGCGCUAUGAGAUGAGCCUGCGUUAGAUUAGCUAGUUGGUAGGGUAAAGGCCUACCAAGGCGACGAUCUAUAGCUGGUCUGAGAGGACGAUCAGCCACACUGGGACUGAGACACGGCCCAGACUCCUACGGGAGGCAGCAGUGGGGAAUAUUGGACAAUGGGCGCAAGCCUGAUCCAGCAAUACCGCGUGUGUGAAGAAAGGCCUUCGG